rnacentral:rRNA from 1 species
AUCGUCAGCUAAGGUCCCUAAAUUGUAAGUUAAGUGGUAAAGGAUGUGGGAUUGCACAGACAACCAGGAUGUUGGCUUAGAAGCAGCCACUCAUUCCAAAGAGUGCGUAAUAGCUCACUGGUCGAGUGAUCCUGCGCCGAAGAUUUCCGGGGCUAAAACUUACUACCGAAGCUACGGCAUCCAGUAAAUGAUGGGUAGGGGAGCUUCCCAUACGGGUUGAAGCAUGACCGUAAGGACAUGUGGACAGUAUGGGGAGUGAGAAUGUUGGCAUGAGUAGCGAGAUGUGGGGUGAGAAUCCCACAGGCCGUAAACCCAAGGUUUCCAGGGGAAGGUUCGUCCGCCCUGGGUUAGUCGGGACCUAAGCUGAGGCCGAAAGGCGUAGGUGAUGGAUAACAGGUUGAUAUUCCUGUACUACCGAUAACCGUUUGAGAGAAGGGAUGACACAGUAGGAUAAGCUAAGCACACUGUUGGUUAUGUGUGCCCAAGCAUUGAGGCAGUCAAAGCAGGCAAAUCCGCUUUGAUAAUGCUGGGAUGUGAUGGGGAGCGAAAUUUAGUAGCGAAGUAGCUGAUUUCACACUGUCAAGAAAAGUCUCUAUCGAGGUUAAAGGUACCCGUACCGCAAACCGACACAGGUGGGUGAGGAGAGUAUCCUAAGGCCAGCGAGAGAACUGUUGUUAAGGAACUCGGCAAAAUGACCCCGUAACUUAGGGAUAAGGGGUGCCACCAUCAGGUGGCCGCAGAGAAUAGGCCCAAGCGACUGUUUACCAAAAACAUAGGUUUCUGCUAAGUCGCAAGACGAUGUAUAGGAGCUGACGCCUGCCCGGUGCUGGAAGGUUAAGGGGAUCUGUUAGAGCAAUCGAAGCAGUGAACUUAAGCCCCAGUAAACGGCGGCCGUAACUAUAACGGUCCUAAGGUAGCGAAAUUCCUUGUCGGGUAAGUUCCGACCCGCACGAAAGGCGUAACGAUUUGGGCACUGUCUCAACAACAGACUCGGUGAAAUUGUAAUUCCGGUGAAGAUGCCGGAUACCUGCGACAGGACGGAAAGACCCCAUGGAGCUUUACUGUAGCUUGACAUUGGGUCUUGGUACUACAUGUACAGGAUAGGUGGGAGGCUUUGAAACCAGGACGCCAGUUUUGGCGGAGCCAUCCUUGGGAUACCACCCUUGUAGUACUGGGACUCUAACCAUAGGCCAUGAAUCUGGUCUUGGGACACUGUCAGGUGGGCAGUUUGACUGGGGCGGUCGCCUCCCAAAAGGUAACGGAGGCGCUCAAAGGUUCUCUCAGUACGGUCGGAAAUCGUACGUAGAGUGUAAAGGCAAAAGAGAGCUUGAUUGCAAGACAUACAGGUCGAGCAAGGAUGAAAAUCGGACUUAGUGAUCCGGUGGUUCUGCGUGGAAGGGCCAUCGCUCAACGGAUAAAAGCUACCCUGGGGAUAACAGGCUUAUCUCCCCCAAGAGUCCACAUCGACGGGGAGGUUUGGCACCUCGAUGUCGGCUCAUCACAUCCUGGGGCUGUAGUAGGUCCCAAGGGUUGGGCUGUUCGCCCAUUAAAGUGGUACGCGAGCUGGGUUCAGAACGUCGUGAGACAGUUCGGUCCCUAUCCGUCGCAGGCGUAGGAAAUUUGAGAAGACCUGUCCUUAGUACGAGAGGACCGGGAUGGACGUACCUCUGGUGUACCAGUUGUCCUGCCAAGGGCAUGGCUGGGUAGCUAUGUACGGAAUGGAUAAGCGCUGAAAGCAUCUAAGCGCGAAGCCAACUUCAAGAUAAGAUUUCCCACCGCAAGGGUAAGACCCCAGAAAGACUAUCUGGUUGAUAGGUCGAAGGUGUAAGUGCAGCAAUGUAUUUAGCUUAUCGAUACUAAUAGGUCGAGGACUUGACCAAU